rnacentral:rRNA from 1 species
AUGCACGCUGGCGGCGUGCCUAACACAUGCCAGUCGAACGGAGUCGUUUUGGAAAUCUCUUCGGAGAUGGAAUUCUCGACUUAGUGGCGGACGGGUGAGUAACGCGUGAGCAAUCUGCCUUUAAGAGGGGGAUAACAGUCGGAAACGGCUGCUAAUACCGCAUAAAGCAUUAAAUUCGCAUGUUUUUGAUGCCAAAGGAGCAAUCCGCUUUUAGAUGAGCUCGCGUCUGAUUAGCUAGUUGGCGGGGUAACGGCCCACCAAGGCGACGAUCAGUAGCCGGACUGAGAGGUUGAACGGCCACAUUGGGACUGAGACACGGCCCAGACUCCUACGGGAGGCAGCAGUGGGGAAUAUUGCGCAAUGGGGGAAACCCUGACGCAGCAACGCCGCGUGAUUGAAGAAGGCCUUCGGGUUGUAAAGAUCUUUAAUCAGGGACGAAACAAAUGACGGUACCUGAAGAAUAAGCUCCGGCUAACUACGUG